UACGUAGGGGGCAAGCGUUGUUCGGAUUUACUGGGCGUAAAGCGUGCGUAGGCGGUUCAGCAAGUCUAGCGUGAAAUUUGCACACUCAACGUGCAAAUGUCGUUGGAAACUGCUGGGCUAGAGGAUGGAAGGGGAGAGCGGAAUUUCAGGUGUAGCGGUGGAAUGCGCAGAUAUCUGGAAGAACACCGGUGGCGAAGGCGGCUCUCUGGUCCAUUACUGACGCUGAGGCACGAAAGCCAGGGGAGCGAACGGG
rnacentral:rRNA from 1 species